AGAGUAAGUCAGCCUAAUCCAACGAAUUGCAUUGCAUAAGUUGGAGCGGAGGAACCAACGUAUGGGGCGUAUCUUAGCUAGAAGGAACAAAAAGUAGAUGUAUGUUUUCGCUUCUUGUUUUUUGCUUCUUCUAAUAGAAGGGUAUCUCUCAACCCUAGCCCGUCAGCUAACUUCGUAGGCAAUGAGAGGAGACUGA
rnacentral:sRNA from 2 species